rnacentral:rRNA from 1 species
CAGUAGCCGCGGUAAUACGAAGGUCCCGAGCGUUGUUCGGAAUCACUGGGCGUAAAGGGAGCGUAGGCGGCGUGGUAAGUCAGAUGUGAAAUCCCGGGGCUCAACCCCGGAACUGCAUUCGAUACUGCCAUGCUAGAGGAUUGGAGAGGUAGCUGGAAUUCUUGGUGUAGCAGUGAAAUGCGUGGAGAUCAAGAGGAACACUCGUGGCGAAAGCGAGCUACUGGACAAUAACUGACGCUGAGGCUCGAAGGCCAGGGUAGCGAAAGGGAUUAGAUACCCGCGUAGUCCCUGUCUCUUAUAC